UUCCGGUUGAUCCUGCCGGACCUGACUGCUAUCGGAUUGAUACUAAGCCAUGCGAGUCUUUGUAGCAAUACAAGGCAUACGGCUCAGUAACACGUAGUCAAUCUACCCUAUGGACGGGGAUAACCUCGGGAAACUGAGAAUAAUACCCGAUAGAUCAUAAUGCCUGGAAUGGUUUAUGGUUCAAAUGAUUUUUCGCCGUAGGAUGGGACUGCGUCUAUCAGCUUGUUGGUGAGGUAAUGGCCCACCAAGGCUAUUACAGAUACGGGCUCUGAGAGGAGAAGCCCGGAGAUGGGUACUGAGACACGGACCCAGGUCCUAUGGGGCGCAGCAGGCGAGAAAACUUUGCAAUGUGCGAAAGCACGACAAGGUUAAUCCGAGUGUUUUCUGCUAAAGAAAUCUUUUGUUAGUUCUAAAACCACUAUCGAAUAAGGGGUGGGCAAGUUCUGGUGUCAGCCGCCGCGGUAAAACCACACCUCAAGUGGUCAGGAGGAUUAUUGGGCCUAAAGCAUCCGUAGCCGGCUCUGUUAGUUUUCGGUUAAAUCCAUGUGCUCAACACAUGGGCUGCCGAGAAUACUGCAUAGCUAGGGAGUGGGAGAGGUAGACGGUACUCGAUAGGAAGGGGUAAAAUCCUUUGAUCUAUUGAUGACCACCAGUGGCGAAGGCGGUCUACCAGAACACGUCCGACGGUGAGGGAUGAAAGCUGGGGGAGCAAACCGGAUUAGAUACCCGGUAGUCCCAGCUGUAAACUAUGCAAACUCAGUGAUGCAUUGGCUUGUGGCCAGUGCAGUGCCGCAGAGAAGUCGUUAAGUUUGCCGCCUGGGAAGUACGUACGCAAGUAUGAAACUUAAAGGAAUUGGCGGGGGAGCACCACAAGGGGUGAAGCCUGCGGUUCAAUUGGAUUCAACGCCGGG
rnacentral:rRNA from 1 species